rnacentral:misc_RNA from 1 species
AAGGAGAAUUACCUACUGUUUAAUUUUGAGGGUUCGUUUUUACGAAUACUCAAAAUUAGCACUUUUAGCAACAAAAUAAACUGAACGCAUGUGAAGUUUGUUUGUUAGCGCUGUGCAUUAGCACUUUAAGCAACGGAAUUUAUUCGUUGGCGCUGUGCGUUAGCACUUUGAAAACUGCAUAUAUAUUUAGUGAUAUGACAUCUAAUUUGUAAUAUAUAAAGCUGAUAACUUUUUAAAAUUAUCGAAGUUGAUAGCUUCUAAUCUAUCAAACCUUUUUAAC